AGACCGGCGCACGGGUGCGUAACGCGUAUGCAAUCUACCUUUUACAGAGGGAUAGCCCAGAGAAAUUUGGAUUAAUACCUCAUAGCAUAGCAGCUUCGCAUGAAGCCACUAUUAAAGUCACAACGGUAAAAGAUGAGCAUGCGUCCCAUUAGCUAGUUGGUAAGGUAACGGCUUACCAAGGCUACGAUGGGUAGGGGUCCUGAGAGGGAGAUCCCCCACACUGGUACUGAGACACGGACCAGACUCCUACGGGAGGCAGCAGUGAGGAAUAUUGGACAAUGGGCGCAAGCCUGAUCCAGCCAUGCCGCGUGCAGGAUGACGGUCCUAUGGAUUGUAAACUGCUUUUAUACGAGAAGAAACAUUCCGACGUGUCGGAACUUGACGGUAUCGUAAGAAUAAGGAUCGGCUAACUCCGUGCCAGCAGCCGCGGUAAUACGGAGGAUCCAAGCGUUAUCCGGAAUCAUUGGGUUUAAAGGGUCCGUAGGCGGUUUAAUAAGUCAGUGGUGAAAGCCCAUCGCUCAACGGUGGAACGGCCAUUGAUACUGUUAAACUUGAAUUAUUAGGAAGUAACUAGAAUAUGUAGUGUAGCGGUGAAAUGCUUAGAGAUUACAUGGAAUACCAAUUGCGAAGGCAGGUUACUACUAAUGGAUUGACGCUGAUGGACGA
rnacentral:rRNA from 1 species